CGGGAUGUAGCGCAGCCUGGCAGCGCACUUGAAUGGGGUUCAAGGGGUCGGAGGUUCAAAUCCUCUCAUCCCGACCA
rnacentral:tRNA from 2 species